GCGUGUGAUUGUAGUGGGUGGAGGUGGUGAAAUGAGGAUAUCCAUUUUGGAGUUCAAGCUAGUAUAAUAUAGUUAACGUUACACAAUAAUAAGGAAGAGAGCUAUUUUUGUGAUACAUCGCUAUUGAUAUGGAUUUAGAGUGCAUAUUUGAGACUUCCAAACAGUAAACAAAAACGUAACUUAUGGGUGAGUGUUUUUAGCAGAGCCAUAUAAUGUCCUUGUGAUUCUGUUGAUUAUUACCUGUCUGUAUUAUGUUGCAGCUCAGCUGAUUUUGGAUUGAUGGCAAAGGGAGAGGGACUUAAGUGAGAGUGAAAACACAAGCACAAGAACCCCAGGGGGAUUCAAUGGAGCCUGAAGACCUGCAAUGAGACCCUCACCCUGCACCUGAGUCUCAACUCCCAGAGUUUUGCAAGCCUCUCCCUGUUCCUUAUUUUUAUUAAACAGACAUUAAGCUUC